ACGAACGCUGGCGGCCUGCCUAACACCUGCCAGUCGAACGAGACCUUCGGGUCUAGUGGCGCACGGGUGCGUAACGCGUGGGAACCUGCCCUUAGGUUCGGAAUAACUCCCCGAAAGGGGUGCUAAUACCGGAUAAUGUCUUCGGACCAAAGAUUUAUCGCCUUUGGAUGGGCCCGCGUUGGAUUAGCUAGUUGGUAGGGUAAAAGCCUACCAAGGCGACGAUCCAUAGCUGGUCUGAGAGGAUGAUCAGCCACACUGGGACUGAGACACGGCCCAGACUCCUACGGGAGGCAGCAGUGGGGAAUAUUGGACAAUGGGCGAAAGCCUGAUCCAGCAAUGCCGCGUGAGUGAUGAAGGCCUUAGGGUUGUAAAGCUCUUUUACCCGGGAUGAUAAUGACAGUACCGGGAGAAUAAGCUCCGGCUAACUCCGUG
rnacentral:rRNA from 1 species